CCCGGUGGUGCUGAACCGGCGCGCGGUGCAGAAUCCACCAGCCCAGGGCGCUGCUUUCCUCCCAGCCCAGGAGCACCUCGGGCACCCCAAGCCCGACCCUCCCGGGGGCACCUGCGUGCACCAGCUCCCAACCAGAGCACUUGUAGGCCUCGCUGCCCUCUGGGAAACAGAGGCCCACUUGGGUUCCAUUCCCUCCACUCAUCGCUCUGCCACCAGCAGCCCCAAAAGCAGUCUGGGGAGUCCCUGGGCAGAUCUCCACCCCGAACCCAAACCGAGGGCUCGGUCCCCCUUUCUCUUCCUCCCUCCCUCUUUCUCUCUCUCUCCCCCUUUCUUUCUCUCUUCCAACUCCGUGCAAAAUGCCACCCUCAGAUUCCUGGGAAAACUCUUCCACCGCGGAGAAGCACUCCAUCAAAAAGAGGGUAUGAAGGAGCGGGCGCCAGGACACUUUCACACACCCCAAACAAGAAGCCGGUUCCAAGCUGCUCGGCCGCCGGUGACAGCGUCGCCGCUGCCUCCCCCUACCGCUCAGAGUCGGAGGAGUCACUUCCCGCCUCCAGGCGGUUAGAUAAUGCGGGCAGCCGCCGACCCUUGGGACCCUCCCCGCGAGCUCCAGCCCUUUACCUGGGUACGGGCCUCGGCGGGGGCGCCGGGGCGCAGCACAGGGCGCGGUGGCCCAGGCAGGCCGGGCGGGUGGUGCGGCGAGGACCGCGGCCGCCGCUCUCCCCUGCCGCUCCCUGCCGGGCGGCUAUUUAUCCCGGGGCCCGGGCCCGGCCCGGCUCCUGCCGGAGUGUUGGGCAAUUGGUCCCGCUACGCGCGCGGCCCCGGGAGCCGCCGCCCUCCGCCCCCGCCGAGCCCCGCGGCGGCGGCGGCGGCGGCCACCUGGAGGGAGGGAGCCGGCCCCCUCCUCUGAGCUCCACCUUCUCUUUCUUCUCCUUCUCCCCUGGAACUUAUUCCCUGCGUUUUCCCCCCUCUCUCUCUUCUUUGCGGGGCACCCUGGCCAGUCUGAACCGGUUGUAA
rnacentral:lncRNA from 1 species